UCUUCACUCUCUCGGUUCUCUCUUUCUCCCUCUCCCUCUCUCGGCUUUCUCCCUCUCCCUCUCCCUCUCCUCACCGAGCAGCUGCACCUCACCACCGUCCCUGGGAAUCGCGAGACCCCUACCACCACCUCGAGCACACCGAGCCUCCUCCUGCCGCCAAGGAGCCACAACGAAGAGGAAGCUCCUUUCAAGCGUUCCCGACGGUUUUGGACUCCGAUCUAGGUGAUCGUUAAAUCGAGGAAAGGAAUUAUCAUCGGGAAUUGUGGAAUUACGCUCGAGUCUAUAAGGGGAUAAUUCUGCAGGUGCUGAUUAGUGGGGGUUGAGUGACGACUACAGAGGCUUGAAGUCGUUCUUAUCCUACUUGUGGUGAGGUUUUAGCGUGGGUUUGUGUGUGAGAAGUUGUGUAAUUUCAUUUGUGAGAUUUGUGAGUGAUUUGUGAGGAUUAUUACAUUUCCAUUUUAUGUAUGGAUUAUAAAUUUGGGUUGUAAUAAUUGGUUGACUGAGUUGUAUUGAGAAC